CCCGCCGCCCCCCAGGCCGUGUCGCCGCGGCCGGCGCUGGGCGCUGCCCCCCGGAUCGUGGCCCCGCAGCUGAUCGUGCGGCCGCCGCCGCAGACCACCAUCCAGCUGCCGCCCGGCUUCACCAUCCCGCCCGGGAUGGUGCUGGUGCGCACGGACGCCGGACAGCUCGUCAUGGUGCCCCAGCAGGCCCUGGCACAGGCUCAGAUGCAGGCCCAGGUGCAGACACAGGGACAGGGUCCUGCCAACAUGUCACCCAGGCUUUCUGUGCCCACCACUGGCCCUGUGUUUCGCCUCUCAACAGCUCAGCAGCCAACGUCCAUGGGCACCUCCAGCGUCCGCCUGGGGCUCCCCGUGCAAGCCAAGGUGGUGCCAUCGACAGCAGCGCCCGCCAGCGCCACAGCCACGCUGCCAGGAGGGGCUGUGCUGUCCCACACCACGGUCAGGGCCUGCUGGGGACACUGCCAGGGCUGGGACACUGCUGGGGACACACUGCCCGUGCUGGGGGACACUGUGCUGGGAACACUGUGCCCGUGCUGGGGGACGCUGCC
rnacentral:lncRNA from 1 species